GAAAACACGUUGCACGGCAUGUAUGUUGGACAGACAAAAUAUAGUCAGGGCCCAGAAAAUGUUGACACGCAGGCCACAUAAUAAGGUAGCUUUUUAUUCUACAGCCUUGGUACUUGGGUUAAAUUUGUACUUUCUGUGCAAUUUGAUGCAAAUUAGAAACUGGAGAUUUGGCAACUGGAAACUGGUGAUUUAGACCGGGAAGUCCCUGGGCAUUCCAGUCACUGGAGUCUAAUGGGAUAAGGAGCAGUGGAGUCUCUGCAGGAUCUCCAGAGUCCGGCCGGAUGACCAGACAGGAGUCUUGGCUGCGCUCCAUGACUCGCUCCUUCAGUUUGUCUCCCCAGAUGUGUUUGCAGGCGUUAAAGAUGUCGUAGCUGUCACUGACCACUGAGACCGGUCCUGAGGAGAACUGGUCCAGGACUCGCUCAAAAGCCUCCUUCUCCCUACUCCUCCCCCAGGAGAUGAUCGUACUGGAUGAGAGGAUGAAAUAAUAUAAGAGACUGACAGAAUUGUCACAGCUGGACUUCAGGAAGUCGGAGUGCCUCAUAUGGUAUGGCCAGCAAUGUCCCCUGACCUGAACCCCACAGAGCAUGUCUGGGACCAGCUGAAGCAGAGACUGGAUGAUUGUACCCCACCCCCACGUGACCUGGCAGAACUGCGUGUAGCACUUGUGGAAGAGUGGAACGCAUUGCCUCAGAACAACAUCAUGAGGCUACUGAGGAGCAUGAGACAUCGCUG